CAGUCGCCGCGGUAAUACGAAGGGGGCUAGCGUUGUUCGGAAUUACUGGGCGUAAAGCGCACGUAGGCGGAUCGAUCAGUCAGGGGUGAAAUCCCAGGGCUCAACCCUGGAACUGCCUUUGAUACUGUCGAUCUGGAGUAUGGAAGAGGUGAGUGGAAUUCCGAGUGUAGAGGUGAAAUUCGUAGAUAUUCGGAGGAACACCAGUGGCGAAGGCGGCUCACUGGUCCAUUACUGACGCUGAGGUGCGAAAGCGUGGGGAGCAAACAGGAUUAGAUACCCCCGUAGUCCCUGUCUCUUAUAC
rnacentral:rRNA from 1 species